rnacentral:misc_RNA from 1 species
GUGAAUCAUCGAAUUUUUGAACGCAUAUUGCACUCUCUGGUAUUCCGGAGAGUAUGCCUGUUUGAGGGUCAUUAAAAAGAAUCUUUAACCCAUUUUUUUUGGUCACAGGAAAUGAGUUCUCCGCGCUUAUAGCGGUAGCUUGAAAUAAAUGGUAGUAUCAUUUUAGUCGAGACGCGUAAUACUAUUAUUCCGCGAAAUCUUUAUUAUGUGACUAUCA